CCAUCUUCGACCAUCCAACCCCAGUUACGCUGCCAGAUGGACAGUCACAUGACCCAUGCCAGACAAGACCAGCAGAGGAACCGCUACACCGAGCCCAGCCAAAACUGCUGAGCCACCAAAUUGCUGUCUCUGUACCUGCAAGAAUAAGAUCGUUUGGCGACAAUGUCAGAGCUAAAUAUGAAGCCUUGUGUGGUGAGGCCGUGCUCAGAGGUGUAGGUCCACUUUCUGAGAUUGUCAGCUCAGGCUCAGACCAUUACCAAAGUGAUGGUAUCCAUGGACCACGAGCCAAACCAGCCUUCCCAUGGUGACAUCUGGAUCUUGUCAUGUGUCCGCCCCUUAAAAUAUCACACAUCCCACCAUGUUUCAGAACCACCUGAGAGAGAAAGCAGGUGCCAGGCUGCAGGCAGAGAUCAAAAUAAUCGUCUUAUUACUGAUAACAGCUAGACUGGAGGAUGACCCUUCCAUCUACAGGGGCUUCCUCGUGACUACAAGCAAUGUCAGGUUCCACGCCUUGUGGGGAAACAACCUCUCAUCUCUGUGCUGGACCCCAAGCAGAAGGAGUGCCUGGGUUCAGAAUGUCCCUAAGUUUCACAGGAAACGAGUUCAUUUGUUUUGAUUUUGCACCAAAAUCUGCCCUUGGCUCCAGCCUCCGCAAACAAAUCCUGUCACCCCACACGCCAGUAGACCCUUGAGAAGAAAUUAAACUAUUACGCUUGUACCUGGGAGCUUCUGCUCCCUCUGAAGAGCCCUGCUCUACCAUCACCCCUGGCAAGCCUGGUCAUGGCCCCAGGCCUUCCUUUCCUGCUCUCAAAGUACUAUUCUCAUUUGAGUUUCAGGAAUUUUUCAAAGGUGAUAAUCUCCACUUUAUUAGAUUUUUCCACCAUUAAGGAGUUGGUCUUGCCUUGCCCAUCUUUGCCAUUAUUUUUAAAAUUUUUAAAGUUUAUUUAUUUGGGUGCAUCAGGUCUUCAUUGCUGCACACAGGCUUUCUCCAGUUGCAGCAAGUGGGAAAUACUCUUUUUUUUUUUUUUUUUAACAUACAAUGAACUGCAUAUAUUUAGAGUGUACAAUUUGGUUUUUUUUUUUUUCUUAUUAGUAAUGUAUAUAUGGCAAUCCCAAUCUCCCAAUUCAUUCCCCCCAACCCUCCUAAGUGGGGACUACUUUUUGUUGCGGUGUGUGGGCUUCUCAUUGCAGUGGCUUCUCAUGUUGUGGAGCACGGGCUCUAGGCACUCAGGCUUUUGGGCUCUAGAGCACAGGCUCAGUAGUUGUGGCGCAAAGGCUUUGUUUCUCCGCAGUAUGUGGGAUCUUCCUGGACCAGGGAUCGAACCUGUGUCCCCUGCAUUGGAGGGUGGAUUCUUAACCAUUGCGCCACCAAGGAAGCCCCCCAGCUUUGCCAUUAAAGCACAGCACAACAUCUUACCCAUGGGGCGUUGCCUGGGCUUCUGUGAUUGUCUGAUGCUGUGGGGAAAGAAAGUCUGCAGUUUCCUUCAAAGUCUUGCCCAAUAAUUUCUAGGAUCAAAACAAGACAUAAAGCACCCUAUUUUCUUUAACUACACAUUUAAAAUCCAAAGCAGCUGUUUACAUAGAAACUCUGGGCAUCACUGAAAGAAAAAAGGCCCAAGACCAUUUGCACCUUUCUGGACAAAUCAGAUUUCUAUUAUGUAGGAAGUGAUUUUGACCAGUAGCUGGUCAGGACGAUUUCUUAGUUGUAUUCAUCCUGGAAAUUACAGCACUGACUCACGGUUUUUGGAGUUGUGACACCCUAUCAUUAUGUUUUAAUCUCCUUUCCUUUCUAACGAUACAAUGUGGAUUUGGGGAUACAAAGUGUGGGGUUACAAAGUAUUAAUAAAUUUCAAUCAAUUGUGAAUUUUAAAAAAUCUAAAGCUUGGAAUCAGUGUUAAUUUCUUCCAAAUGUUGUCAAAUAUUCUCCCUCCUAGCGAUGGUUCACGUUUCAGUACUGUACAACAUCAUUUAGAAAACUUCAUUGUAUACCACAACUUUUAUUGGGUUGGCCAAAAAGUUCCUUUGUUUGUUUUUUUUUUUAAAUAAAUCUAUUUAGUUAUU